UACGUAGGGACCGAGCGUUGUCCGGAUUUACUGGGUGUAAAGGGUGCGCAGGCGGACUGGUUAGUCUGGGGUGAAAUCUCAUCGCUUAACGGUGAAACUGCCUUAGAUACUGCCAGUCUUGAAUCAGCGAGAGGUUCGUGGAAUUCCGAGUGUAGCAGUGAAAUGUGUAGAUAUUCGGAAGAACACCAGUGGCGAAGGCAGCGAACUGGCGCUCGAUUGACGCUCAGGCACGAAAGCAUGGGGAUCAAACAGG
rnacentral:rRNA from 1 species